GUUUCCUGACUGGUGUAUUUCAUGGCUUCCUAGGUGGUCUAUAUUAAGCUUUUAUUAAGAAAAAAGACAUUUCUUAAGGAAGAGUUAAGUGAGAGAUCUUCAUCAUUUAUUUUGUGUGUGCAUGUGUGUAGCUGAUUUGAUUUCUUCUGAUGGAGAUCUUAAAAUUAACAAUGGCAGAACUUUUCCACGGCAUUUGGAUUUCCCUGUUUCUGUUCUCCUUUAUAUCCAGUGCAUAUUCAGUGAAUAUCUCCACCAAAACUUACAGUGAGUGAAAUGCUGAGCCCGCUGUGGUCUCUCUGGCUGUUCACAACCACAAGACCUAUUUCUUUAGGUACUUGGGGCACAAGAGAAAAAAAAAAAGCCAGCAAAAGGACGUUGGGCUGCAAUCUGAUGCCUGAGUUUUCCCGUUCUGACAAAACCUUCCUAGGGUUUGCCUCCUUGUGGCGAAUGCCUUUCAUCUUGGAGAAUGCCAGCAGACCUCUUUAUUACUUGAAUGUGGUGGAUGCUGUUCUUCAUGUAUACCCAUGCUACUCUACAGAGGAGAUGCUCAGUGCAUGUGACUCACAAACAUUGUGUCAGGAUCCAGGGCGUCUUCAAAAGUGGACUUACGGAGAAUUAAUGAGGCUUCUCUCUUGAGGAAGCCUUCUGCUUAUGUGUUCGCCAGCAGUUCUCAGAUUACUUGCUCUCUGAUGACUGACUGAUAAGUGGUUCCUUUCUAGUCAGGUGCUGAAGAAACACACUGUUAGAAGUUCGCCGUGCUCAUGUGUCUAGAACAUGGGGUUUCCUGAGGUUUCUUACAGUCUGGAUCGGCUGUCCAAGGAGGAGACUGGCUGCCUCAGGAAGAAGGCGUAUCCCUGGCCCUGAAGAGCCGCUGGCUCGGGUUGGGGUGGGCUGGUGCGGGCAUAAUAGAGGGGGUUAUACUGGACGACCUUCAGUCCUAAGCUGCUUCUGUCUUAAAGUUCCAACAGUUUUUAUUAGCAGUGGCUCCCAAACCUGAUGCUCUCAAUUUACUUAUUAGCAUCCUUUCUUUCUUUCUGUUAAAAUGAAAUCGUUUCAUUGUAAUUGUUGAAAAGAAGAUGUGCAGUCUUGAUGGGCAGAGAUGAGGUCUGCCUGAGGUCUGCUGAUGAAACGCUAUAGCUCCUAGGGAUGUGGGAGUUAGAAGGUGAAUUCGAUAGGAAUAUUUAAAAGCAGUUGGAAAAAGCUUCUUUAAUUUUGCUUAACCUAUGCAUCUAUUUUCUGGAUAUAUUUGGGGGUAAAUCUUAUCAACUGUGGAGUUCCCUAUUGAAAUGAUAAGGUGGGGUUUUUGAGGAGGCAGAGCAAGGAAACAGAACAUCAACUGGGAAGGGCCUUUGCGUAACUAGGACGGAGGUCAAAGGUCUCCUUGAGGUGGGAGCUGAUUUCUACAUUUUGUAAACUAUUAUCCUUAUUUUUACCAACUUCAAAUUCAAAGUGGCCCCUUUCACUCUCACCUUUGGAUGGCUUCCCUUCUAAACACAAGUGGUUUAUUAGAAACCUGAGCACGAGGCGCUCUGGAGCCAGAGGAUACUUUCUGGGGCUGGAUCUUGAUGUCAGCAUCAGACCUGGGGCCACCAAACAUUUCUGUGAAUUCAAGGCGCCUGAAUGCCAAGGCUUGUGAGGCUGAAGCCUGGUCUUUGUUGAGAUGCAAGAGCAGCCUCUUGAUGUCAUGGCAGGACUCAGAGCCCAUGCCAAGGCAGAUUCAUGGGGUGAAGACACUGGCAGGUUUGCCUCGUGGGCAGCCAGGAGAGCGGUGACUGCUGGCAUGCUUUAGCCACCCACAGACCACGCCGGGGGACACGUCAGACACUGGGCCAGGAGGCAAGCAGGGCGAAUCACAGAUGACACCUGAGGAACAAGAAAAUUGGUUGACUUACUUCCUUCCCUUCCUGUUCCUGCAGUGUGGGGACAACUUUGGGACAUUUUGUGGUUCUUCAAGGAGCUCUUUGAACUGCUGCCUACAGAUAGGCUGGUGAGGGUCUUGCCUUCCUCACUGGAGGAACAGGAUUGUGUACACAGAGGAGAGCUGGACCUUUGACACUUAACUUUUAGCAGCUGGGAGAGGUGCAGAAUGGGGCAGACAGCCUUGCUUUGCUGUGUACAGAAUCUGGCUGCUACACCCGAGGGCUUGUGUCUCAGCCUCAGCAGCCUUCUUGAGCAGCAGAGCGACCCCAGAGUCUUCAGGAAGGCCUCGGGCAUGUCCCCGAUGGAACCACAUGGAGCCCAAAGGUUGCAGAGUUGAGGGCUUGGCUCCCAGGUUCUUGUCUGUGAGAACCACUCCCAAGACGCUCAUAGCACCUUGUGGCAGGAAAGAUUCUGCUACAGGGGUUAGAAGCCCCCGAGUGGAUCGUAGAGCCCUGCCCUCGAGAAACUUAGGUCAUGGGACUUAGUUUUAACUGACACGCACUGAACUUCACUAGCAGUUCCAUGGCUUGUGUCAUUUAAUCUGCACAACAACAUGAUAAGGUUGAAAAAUUAUUUCCCUUUUGUAGAGGGUAGGAGAUUGAAGUUUACAGAAAUUAAGGAGCCUGCCUGGGCUCAGAUGUAAGAAGAGAGAAGGCUGGGAUUAAAUUCAGGAAGUCUGGCUCCAAUGCAGUUAUAGAGUUAAUAUAUUUUUAAUAUAGACAUUAGGAUCAACCUGUGUUGUAUUGAAUGGCUGUUCUUGAUUUUUCACAAGUGGCAAGGUAUGGUUAAAAACAGCUGUUCCUUCCUAUACAAAGUAUUCUAUGACAAAGCCAACAAUACUGUCUUCCCUUGAUUCUUAUCCAGGGUAUCCCAAUUUCAGGAGUGACAGAAAAGACUGCACGUUAGAUGGUACUUUCAAGUCAAGGAGGCUCAGGAAGGAGAAUUUUAAGAAGGGAACAGACAACAAUGUUAAAUACAAUUGACAGAGGAAGUAUUAAUAAAAUGAGAACUUAUAAAAUCCUAUGAGAUUUGCAACGAGACUUUGUAAGCUGAAUCCAUCUACUGUCCCCUGGUAUACCACAGGUCUCCCCCCAGUUUUAAUGAAAUACAUAAUACACAUAUGGUACUAAAUUCAAAAUAUAUCAAAGGCAGACAGUGAAAAGCCCCUAGGUCUCCCUCCCAUUCCUGUACCCUAGCAACCGUUUCCAGGAAGCAGACACUAUUAUUCAUACCAAUUUACUGUGUAUCCUUCCUGAGCUGCUGUAUGCACACAUAACAUGAUGCUGUCUGUAACACUGAAGAUUCCUCUUGGUGAGGCUCAUUAAGAGGAAAAGCUCUCUGGCCUUUAUAAUAGAACAACUGUCUCCUCUGGAGAGACUGGUUUGCUUUUUAUCUUAUGGCUGUCCUGAGAUACAUGACUGAUCAGUGUUCAUUUUUAGUGCUGCAUUUCACACAGGAAGGUUUUAUAUAUUCCAGAGGACCCCUUCUGGGAGGCAAAAUUAGGAUAUUGUUGCUGCUCAAAUGUGUAUAGAAGAAUCUGUUCAACACAAGAGCCAAAGACCACUGUGUAAAUAUGAACCCACAUGAUCAUCUGUUAAGAAUAAUACCUGAGAUAGAGACAUAAAACACCUGUUAACAUGGCUGAUCGGUCACAGUAUCAUGUGCCCUACUAUCUGUACACCAUGUUUUGGUGAAUGGAAGGCAAUAACAAGUUAAAAAAAAAUUUUUUUGUAAACUGAAACCAAGUAAAGGAUAACUGGAUAACUUGGUGGGCUUACAUAUCUACCACUGAUAACCCUGAAGUUCUUCCGAUCCAGGUGACUGAUUGGAGAAAGAACUAAAUUCACAAUUAAUUGUUACGCGUUAUGAGGUUUAUGCAUGAUUAAAAACAAGUUUACACUGAA